rnacentral:rRNA from 1 species
AUUGAACGCUGGCGGCAGGCCUAACACAUGCAAGUCGAGCGAGCGGCGGACGGGUGAGUAAUGUUUGGGAAACUGCCUGCUGGAGGGGGAUAACUACUGGAAACGGUAUCUAAUACCGUAUACCUUCAGAUGUGCCUAGUUGGGAUUAGCUAGUAGGUGGGGUAACGGCUCACCUUGGCGACGAUCCCUAGCUGGUCUGAGAGGAUGACCUGCCAAACUGGGACUGAGACACGGUCCAGACUCCUACGGAAGGCAGCAGUGGGGAAGAUUGCGGAAUGGGCGCAAGCCUGAUGCAGCCGUGCCGCGUGUGUGAAGAAAGCCUUCGGAUUGUAAAGCACUUUCAGCGGGGAAGCGUUACCCGAAGAAGAAGCACCGACUGACUCCGUGCCAGCAGCCGCGGUAAUUC